CCCAUCCCCCAAGUCCUCUCUCCUUCCCCAAACCUGAAGCUCUUUUUAGGAGCUCAGAGUUGCAGCUCUGACCACAGAAAGCGGCCACAGCCCUACCCCAGCCCACCUUCUCCCCUGCUCUGAGCCCUGAUCCCCCACUGCCAGGCCAAGGUCCGUAUCCUGGACCUGCCUUAGCUCUGCAGGCUGUGUGUGUGUGUGUGUGUGUGUGUGUGUGUAGAAUGGACUAUCCUACUGCUAGUAUGGUAUGUUCAUCAUGAUAGGGAUAGGGAUGGGAGCCUGUGCUGUUAGUUUGGUAUCCAGUCUGGGCCCUGGUUGUGGUCUGUUGCUGACUGAGCAAGAGAAAGGGCAAGGUGACUGUGUGAGGCUUUGGUCUGCCUCUCCUGAGGCGCCUUUUCUGUCUGCUCUCCCAAAUAUUGCAGGACCCACCCUGUCCUGUCUCAUCCUGUCCUGCCCCAGCUCUCUUCACUUCUGAGUUUCUCAACCAUUCAGGUUUAUCCAGAGUCCUGCAUGCAACUGCUGUAACUCCAGCCUGAGAGAGAGGGGGUGUCUAGGAGCGGGUCAUGGCUCAUGCAGUGAACACCGUCGACACCUACCAUGUGCCAGGCACUGUGCAGGAAGGUGGGCUUUACCGGAGUGAACUUAGGAAGCAUCCAGGCUGAGAGAGAACUGGAUGUUCUCUGGAGCCUGCAUUUCGUUUGUCUGGCUGUUGCUGAGAAAAGGAGGGACCCAGCUCUGCACCUGGCCACUGCAAACCCCGUAAAGUUCAUGGUAUGACUCUUCCAUGGGCCAUAACCUCCUCCCAUCCCUAAUCCGGCCCAGGCAGGACUGAGUUGGAGGAUGCUGGAUCUGCCAGGAGAGGAGAAAGGGGAGGGGAGGAUUGUUUCAGGCUGUUAAUAGUCUCGAAAUAAAGCCUGAAGACAAGAUUAGAGUCUGUUUAUUUUUCAGUCCCAUUCCUAAGGUUCUAGAGAAAAUAUUUUUAACUUGGAACCUUGAGAGGUGGCCUAAGACCUUUCAAGCACCCCAGAGGGACAGAAACCCAUGAGGGACAAGGGUGAGAAUAGCAUCAGAGUCCUCCAGGAAAGUCAAGGGCUGCUGUCCCCCUACCGAAACCCCAGUCCUGGCUCAGAAAAGUGGAAUCUGGGCCGGGGUGGGGGCGGG